ACAAAGGAGAACUACACCUCCAACAACAAAUCAGGAGGCUAAUUCAUUUGAAUACAAAAAAGGAGCUUGACACGAGCACCUAGCAUCUACCAGUACAUGAGCAGGGGCAAGAGCAGGAAAACACGCAGAAGCAUCAGGGAGCAUCCCGACACGAGCAGGAACGAGCUAGACAUCUACCAGUACAUCUACAACAUCCCGCAUGCUACAACUACAGGUAUCCGCCAAGCUACAUCUACAGAAUCCCCAUCAGCUACAGGAACAUGAGCAGCUACAAGUACAUGAGCACCUACAGAUCGCCCUCUCACCUACAGGAACAUGAGCACCUACAGGAACAUCUACAGAAACAUCUACAGAAUCCCUCGCGCCUACAGGAACACGAGCACCUACAGGAACAUCUACAGACCGCCCUCUCAUCUACAUGAACAGCUACACCUCCACAGACAAAAGGGGGACAAAGCCGCUGCAUCUACAAACAGUACAAACAGCAGCGCGCGCGGGACGGCCACAACAACCAGAAGCCUAGCAAUCUAGCGGCUGCACCACAUGCGCGAGAGGGCGACAUGAACUGACCUAGAUCUGGGACGAACAAGAGCAGAACAACACAAGCGCGCGACGGGGAGAGAGAGAGAGAGGAACAACCAACCGCGACACCGGGGAGCGAAGGGGAAGGGGAGAGAAAUCAAGCUCGAGUGGGGGAAGGUCUCGAAAUCGCCAUGGACGGGGAGAAUCGCCUCCUGCUCCGCCGCUCGAGCUCCCCCUCAGCCUUAUCCAAACAGAGAGGACGAAAUGAAAA
rnacentral:rRNA from 1 species